UUCCUGUUGAAUGGUCUUGACACCUUUGUCAAAAACCAAUUGACCCUAGAUAUAUGAGCUUAUUUCUGGACUCUCACUUCUAUUCCAUGGAUCUGCAUAUACAUCUUAUACCAGUACCAUACUAUCUUGAAUACUGUUGUUUUGCACCUUACAAACUGCCACUGGCUAAAAACACAAGAAUCUGUCCAAGCUGGGCAAUUCGUAAAGCAGAAAUGAUGCACCAAGGACACAUCACUUCGGUGGGACUCCUACCAAAAAGACAACUUCAAUCUAAUCAUGAGUAAACAUCAGACAAACCCAAACUGCAAGACGUUCUAUAAAAUAAUUAGCUGCUACUCAUCAAUAGUGUCAAGGUCAGGAAAGAAAUGGAAAGACUGAGCAACCACGGCAGAUUGGAGGAAACUAAGAAGACACAACUAAAUUCAAGAGCCUGUGUUGGAUGCUGGACUUUAGUGGGAAAAUGCUGAAAUUCAAAUAAGGUUUAUAGUUUAGUUGAUAGACUUUUAUCUAUGUUAACUUUCUGGCUUUAAUAAUUGUACUAUAGUUAUGAAAGAUGUUAACAUUAGGAUUAGGGUAAGGGGUAGUUGUGAACUUUCUGUAUUAUUUUUGCUACUUUUCUGUAAGUCUAACCACUAUUUAAAAGUGAAAAGCUGAACAAACAACCAACCAAAACAAAAAGAGCUCUCUGUGACUGACAUUCAAACCAUGAGUCGUAACCAACAGAAUGCACUUCAA